GUUUUCGUGGCCUAGUGGUUAGGGCGUCUGUCUUACAGGAAACAACAUACUGAUCACAGAAGAUCCCCGGUUCGAUCCCGGGCGGAAACA